CACACCUGUAGUCACUCAACGAAUCAAGCUCCCUUUAAAGGCCUGGUCUGAGCUCCACUACACUGUCAGAUAAUCCAUCUUGUAUGGUUCUCCAGCGUGCCCCGUGUUGCUGUAGCUUCAAAGAUUUUUUCCUUGACCAGCCAGAACCCUGCUUAACUUCUUUGUUAAUACACUUUUGUGUGAGGAAUCUGCCUGCCUCCACCUCUGCUUUUGGGAUCCAGUUUGAGUAGACGUAACACCUUCAGACACCUGUGGUCUCUGUCUCUCUGCCAGUGAUUCUGCCAACCACUGACCAGUCCUCUCACCAGCAUGAGCUCUAUGGUUGUCAAAUAAACUCCUUUAACCUCA